GCCCAGACUCCUACGGGAGGCAGCAGUGGGGGAUAUUGCACAAUGGGGGGAACCCUGAUGCAGCGACGCCGCGUGGGUGAAGAAGUAUUUCGGUAUGUAAAGCCCUAUCGGCAGGGAAGAAAUUGGACGGUACCUGACUAAGAAGCCCUGGCUAACUACGUGCCAGCAGCCGCGGGAAUACGUAGGGGGCAAGCGUUAUCCGGAUUCACUGGGUGUAAAGGGAGCGUAGACGGCCAUGCAAGCCUGGAGUGAAAGCCCGGGGCCCAACCCCGGGACUGCUCUGGGAACUGUGCGGCUGGAGUGCGGGAGGGGCAGGCGGAAUUCCUGGUGUAGCGGUGAAAUGCGUAGAUAUCAGGAGGAACACCGGCGGCGAAGGCGGCCUGCUGGACCGCGACUGACGUUGAGGCUCGAAAGCGUGGGGAGCAAGCAGGAUUAGAUACCCUCGUAC
rnacentral:rRNA from 1 species